rfam:Myotis lucifugus cont2.14021, whole genome shotgun sequence.
GGCAGUUCUCGGGUGCCGCACCCUGGAAUCGGGCUCCCUCCUCUCUGGUUCCAGGUGUGUCACCCCAGAACCACU